UUCUCGUUAGUAUAUCGGUUAGUAUACACGCCUGUCAUUAAUCGGGGCGCGUGAGAGCCGGGUUCGACUCCCGGACGGGAAG